rnacentral:tRNA from 1 species
GGCGCCGUCGGCCGGGGCGACUCGGUCGCCGUCAUCGGCUGCGGCGGCGUCGGCGACGCCGCCGUCGCCGGAUCGAACCUGGCCGGCGCGGCCA